CUUGAUCAGUGCAUGGUCUUCAUUGAACUUGAGAUCUUCAAUUCUUCCAUUGGUAACAUGGGAGUCAUGCACUUAUCACCCAAAGUGCAUUAACAAACUCCCCCUUGAUCAGUGCAUGGUCUUCAUUGAACUUGAGAUCUUCAUCCGUUCUUCGAGAGCUGCUUUCUGCCCAGACCUUGUUCUUCACACAGUACUGAACCACCUUGAUGGACUGGUCAGCUAGAACACGAUCUUCUUCAUUGUAUUUUAGAGGCAGGCGCCGAAGCUUCUUCGGAUGUGCUCCCCUUAAGUUUGCAAGCCAAAUCAGAUCCAGCACCUUAGCAAUCUCCUCCGUCACUUUCGUUUUAGAAAUCACUGAUUCCCCAGUCUUGAGAUGCACGAGCCAGAUGCACACAGCUUCUCCAAAUAUUCCAUCUUGAGAUGAACGAUCCAGAUGCACACAGCUUCUCCAAUCUUUCAUCUUGAGAUGAACGAUCCAGACCUGAAACACUUAACCCAGGAUUAAGAAACUUGACCCCGAAGAUAUCGGCCCAAACCUGGAUCCCAAAAAUAACUUCCAAUACCCCAGAAUAAACAAUUGAAAUAUUAAACAACCAACAUUUAAUAACUUAUUUAAACAAUUUUCACAACCCUAGAGUAUUUUUCAGAAUGAUAACUCGCACACAGAAACAAGAAAGCAAAAUCUUUUUGAGGUUUUUUUUUUUUUUUUUAAUUUUUGACUGAAAUGGAAAUUAAACCUACGAACAUACUUACACUAAUUGUCUUUUUGCGAAAUCGGAGCAAAGGAAUCAUAUCGGUUUUUCUGUCGGUAUUCAACACAAAAACCAUGGCAUUUAGCUUUAAUGUUUUAGAAUAAUGUUGACAGUUCAAGACGUUCAACGGUAUUGUGGUCCACUUAAGUUUUAGCACGCUUUCGAACACUGUUUUCGAGAUAUGGAAUUAAGUGUAUUAAGCUGACAUUAACUGUGUUUACCCACCUCAGAAUAUACUCCCGUAUCAAGGUAUGCGCGAGAGAUCAUCUUACUGAUGCAAAGGGCACAAGAGCAAGUCAUUUGUGAUAGAAUCACUUAUUGAGGAUAGACUUGACUCCCGCAAGAUUUUGAGGGACAUGUGAUUGUUUAUCACUUAUUCGGGUCGGGUGCAUCAUGUAUUGAAGAAAUUUACACGUAUUUAUGGUAUCAUGGAAGAUCUAGACUUGCGUCCCCGUUGUUUUCGGUAAAAGAAGCAACCAUGAUACCCAGAUGAUAAACAGCAUAAAGACCACGUAUCUCAGAACCUCGGCAAUCUAUCAAACGAAAUUACGGUACCAAGACCAUAUAUCCGAGAGAUGCGCCACACGAGUUACGCAGUUCAUUAUGUUUAUAUACCAAAGACAGGUUCUUAUUUACGCGUAAAACCUACCGAUGCAACGUAUAAUGAAGCUGUCACAUUUAAAAGUUAAUCUCAUAUAUAUAUAGCCAUAGUCCUGCACCAGAUACGACUAACCAAUGUACUAUCAUUUUCCUUAUAUCUCAACACAACUUCAUUUUA